rnacentral:lncRNA from 1 species
GGCCUCGGGGCUUUCCGAGCCGCCGCCCUCCUAGCGGCAGGAAGGCUGCAGCAGCUCCGCGAUGCUGAUGCUCGGGCUGGAGAACGCCGCGCCCACGCCUCCCGUCCCUUCAAGCCCACCACUCCGUCCUGGGGCCCAGCCCUCCGCAGCCCCGCUGCACCGCCCGCCCCGCCCAGCCCAGCCCAGCUGCUGCACCGCCCUGCAGCCUGCACACAAGCCCCGGCCCAGGGCAACACCUACCCGGAGAUCCCGGGGCCGCCUCUCUGGGACUACAACUCCCAGAAAUCCGCUCCCCAGCCGGCUCGCCGGCGCCGAUUGGCUCGCUGCGCCAUCCAUCAACCACCAACCACCGGAAGACGGCUGCGGACGGCGCGCCACGGCCAAUCACGAGAGCGAGGGGGCGGGAGCUCCCCCAGCCGGUCCGACGCUCGGAGUGCAGGCGUGGCGGGACGCCGAAGGAGUCGGUUCUUCGGAGAGCCACGGCGAGUCAGUGGUCGGAGAGUUGACAGGCCGGCCCUGCGCGGAGUGAUGGCCUGGGGCAGAAGCCCCGUUUUGCCCAGAAGACUCCGGAGUCCGCUCCGCCGGCUGCUGCCCUCGGCGCCAGGCCCAGCGGCCUUCGCCCCGCCCCCCGUCUCUCAUUGGCUCCCCCGGGACACGUGGGGGGAAGGAGGCGUGGCCACCGCGGCUGGGGCUGGCGGCCUGCGGCCGGCGGGGAUGAGAGGCCCGCGGACUCGGGCCUGGGGCCGCAUGGCAACCGUGGUGCCGGGCUGCUGGCGACGGCGGAGGGCGGAGGAGCUUCAGGUUCCGGGGGACGCGAAACGGGCAUGCAGGAGAGGAGAAGCAGCCGGGCCAGAGUGGGGCCGAGCCCCUGUGAAGCUCAGUGCCCCAGUGUCCUGCAGCGGCGAGGGGCUGCCACGUGUGGGGAUUCCUCAGAACGGCGGAAGGAGCUGGGCCCAGCCUUGCCCGAGAUGUAUGGCGGGGGAGUCUGGACAUCUUAACCACACCGAGAACCAUUAAGGAGCAAGCUGGAAGGUUCCAGUUUGGGUCUCAAGACGUCCAUGUGCCAACAAGUGUCAAUCUCACAGAUGGACCUGGGCACCCACCUGUUGGAAUCACCGGUUCAGGAGAUCCCAUCGCCUACCGCGCUAGAGCCAGGAGGACCCCCAUCACCUCAUAGGAGCCUUCGGACUGUUGGCACCUGCUGCACCCUUCAGAUGUAUCUUCUUGACAAGGAAAUCAUUUGCAUCAUGUAAAAGUUAAAGAACAUUUCAGUGUCAAAUUUCCUAUGAAGUUAGAGAACCCUGUGGCUCAUGGAACCAUAUCCAGAUGUAGCUCUGCUUUCAGACUCUCCAGUAGUUUUGUGGUUGUACCCAGGGCUCCUUAUAUGCUCAUUUUUAAUUAAAAGAUUUAUUUUUAUAUUUAAAAUACUCUAUAAUCUUAAACUGAAUUUUACUAAAUGUUGGUGUCCAUUCCGUUCUGUGUAAUUCCCCAAAUGAAGUUAUCGGGCACAGGGCCUCUUUUAUAUUAAAAUUGAAAUUUCUCACUUUUCUUGGGUUUUCAAUGCAUCAUCUGACUGUGGAGACGGGUGUCACUUUCCCUGGAUCUGAAGGCUUCCUGAGAUGUCCUAGUACUUACCAGACACGGUCCUCACAAAAUCACUGGGUUCCAGCUCCACUCUCAGGCUCUUUACCCUUCCAAGGCCAGGGUGGUGGGCAGAGGCCCUGCACUCCCUGCCUGGUCAUCUCAUGCCCAUGGCCUGUUCCCUGCCAGCGGCUGUCCCUCAGCACCGACAUCCGCAGGGCCAGCCCGCCAGCGGUCACGGCAUGUGGUCAUGGAGGGACUUCACGUGGCGCAGAAGGGCAGACCGGGUGUUGGGAGGAAACCCGUACGACACCAGCUGUGCUGUGGAUUAUCCGGGAUCACAGGGCACUGCUGUGUCGCAGGAAAGAGGAGACUGCCUCCGGCAUCCGGGGAGGUCACAAGUCCUGUGGCCCAGAGUCAGGUCACCAACUGCCGGGGAUGAGCCAGCCGUCCUCACCAGGAUGACCAGGCCUGGAGCGGCGAGCCUGAGGUCUGUGGCCGUGAAACAGGUGCCAUCAGGGAGCUUUCUUGUGCUCCUCUCUGCUAAAGGAGACGCGUCGUAAUUCUUAGAGAAACCGUGGGGGCGCAGAGCUUCUUAGAUUCACAGCAUUCCUUUUUGUGCGUCAGCCCGUCCGUUUCGCCCAGAUUCACGGGGAGAGGAGGAGGCCGCACGUUUACUUAGUUGUGCUGGGGAACGAGCGCACACAUCGCCGCGGCUACUUGGUGAAGAAAGCUUGUUCCGUGGAGAGUAAGCCCCCUGCCCCUUCCUGCCUGGUGGGAGGCACCCCGUGCAGAGCCAGCCAGAUGGGGUGCAAGGCUCACGUCCCCCAGGGUGUCUGUGGGAGGGGGUGAUGGCCCACAGGGUUUGCUGGGAGCAGAGAGAGGCAUGCACGCAUGGCCUGGGUGACCCUCGGUGGUCGCCCCUGUGCCCCAGUGCGCGACCCCUCAAACCCCAAAGCGGACACCCCUCUGGGAAGCCAGAGGACAGGAAAGCUUAGAGCAGCAGGGACAAU